rfam:Verticillium dahliae VdLs.17 supercont1.43 genomic scaffold, whole genome shotgun sequence.
AAGAUUAUCGAUCUUCUAAUAGUUAGUUCCGCUAAAGUAGGGCUCUCCAAUAUUUAUCCUAUUUUUAUAAAAUAAAGGAACUUAAAGAUUUAGGGGCGCUAUUUAGUUUUUAUCUAUUCUUAAACUUUAAAUAUAUAAGAAGUCUUUAUUAUUUUAUUAAAUAUAGACGUUAAAAUAAAAUAAUAUUAAUAAACUAUUUUUAAUAAAUAGAAUUAGCGAUAUAGGAUAAACUAAAUACGAGGUUAAAGUAUUAGAGUAGAUAUUUAUUAAAUAGUAUAAAAAGUAUUAAUAUAUCUUAAUAAUAGGAUAAUAGCUAUAGAAGUCGGAAUCUAUUAAGGAUUAUAUAAUAACUUAUUUAUUAAAUAUAUUAGCCUUAAAAAUAGAUAGCGCUUAAGCGUCCUACUUAUACCUCGCCCUUAAUAUAGGCUUAGCGUAUCGAGGGGUAAGUAGAUAUAGAGGUCGGUAAUAAAGUCUAGGACGUAAGUCCGAGUAGAACGGCCUCUAAUAUAGAUCUUAAUAAUAAUAAUAAAUAUUUUAAUAAGAACUUAAAGGAUUAAAGUAGGGAAAGGUUCUAUAUAAAUAGUAAUUAGAUAUAAAUUAAUCGAUCCUAAGCUAUAAAAAAGUUCUAUUUUAAAGGGGCGCUUUUACUCUAUAUAGCGAAAGGGAAAUUAAUUAAUAUUCUAAUAAUUAGAUAUAGGUUUUAUAUAAUAAUAUAACCGAAUACGGAGACGAUAGUAGGGGCCCUAGGAAGAGUUCUCUUUUCUUCUUAAUAAUCUAUUACCCUAGAAUCGGUUUAUCCGGAGAUAGGGUUUAAUAGUCGGAAGAGCUUAGCGCUUUUAUUAAAUUUAGUAUAUCCUCGAUAUCCCUUAAAAAUCCGUAGGAGGGAAUAAUUCUUAUACGAGGUUAUACUUAUAACUAUAAUAGGUCUCUAAGGUAAAUAGCCUCUAGUUAAUAGAAUAAUAUAGAUAAGGGAAGUUAGUAAAAUAGAUCUAUAAUUUUGGGAAAAGGAUUAGCUCUAAGGAUCGGGUAUAUUAGGCCUUAAAUAGACGGUUUAAUAGCGGGAGGUUACUAGCUAGGUAAUUAGCUAGAGGCUCUUUAUUACUUAGCUCGAUGCUCUUAGUAAGCUUCGGCCGUUUAGUAUAUAUUUAACGAUUAACUUAGAAUUAAUAUAGAUAGGGGGAAUCUAAUUAUUUAAUUAAAAUAUAGUAUUAUAAUAGCUAGAAAGUAAUAUUAACGUAAUAUAAUUUCUACUUAGUACUCUAAAUAUUAAAAUAAAGUAAUUUAACUAAGUAUAGGUAAAUAGUAGGAGUAAUUAUAACUCUCUUAAAAUAGCUAAAUAUUUUAUUAUAUAAUUAAUAAUAUAUAUAAAUAGAUUAACGAGAUUCCUACUAUCCCUAUCUACUAUCUAGCGAAACUAUAAUUAAAGGAACGGGCUUAGUAGAAUUAAUAGGGAAAGAAGACCCUAUUAAGCUUAACUCUAAUUUAAUAUUAUAAAAAGAUAUAGGAGGUAUAGAAUAAGUAGGAGCUCUAGCGCUAAUAAAAUACUAUUACUCCUAUUAUUUUUUUACUUAUUUAAUAGAGCGGGGCUAGAUUUAUAUUUAAUUUUUAAUAUUAAAGUCCUUCGCGGGCUAACCUAGGUCGGAGAUAUUAUUAAAUAGGGAGUUUAGCUAAGGUAGUAUAUCUAUUAAACUAUAAUAUAGGUAUCUUAAAGGGGGCUUAUAGAGAAUAGAAAUCUUUAAUAGAAUAAAAAGGUAAAAGUCCCUUUAAUUUUAAUUUUUAAUAUAAAUAUAAACUAUAAAAGUAUAGCUUAUCGAUCCUUUAGUCCCUCGGAGUUUAAAGCUAAAGGUACUAGAAAAGUUAUUAUAGGGAUAACUAGCUUAUAGCGGCUAAGCGUUUAUAGUGAUAUUGCUUUUUAAUCCUUUAAUAUUAGCUCUUCCUAUUAUAUUAAAGUAGAAUUCGGUAAGUAUUAGAUUAUUUACUUAUUAAUAGGGAAUAUAAGCUAGGUUUAGAUUAUCGUAAAAUAGGUUAGUUUUACUUUAUUAAUAAUCUUAUUAUAAUAGUAAUUAAGCUUAGUAUAAGAGGAAUUGCUUAUUUAGAUAAUUAGUUUUUAUAGCUAUCCGACUAAGUAAUAUUACGAAGCUAUUAUCUAUUAAAUAAUAGCUAAACGCCUCUAAAUUAGAAUCUAUACUAGAAAGCGACGACGCCUCCUAUAUAUAUAGAUAGAUACGAAUAGGCCUCUAGCUUAACGGCUUAAUAGGUAAAGAACGCUAACGCUCUAGAAAUAGGUAUUAAUACUUUACGAAUUAUAAUUUUAAUAUAAAUAAGGUCGAAUCCUCUAUAGAUAAUUUUAAUAUAUAAAAAGGUCCUAUAAGUAAUAGAAUAGCCUUAUUAUUACGAUCUAUUAAGGGUAAGCCCUAUUUCGCCUCGAUUUCC